rnacentral:rRNA from 1 species
UACGGAGGAUCCAAGCGUUAUCCGGAAUUACUGGGCGUAAAGAGUUGCGUAGGUGGCAGAGUAAGUUGGUAGUGAAAGACGUCGCGGCUCAACCGCAUAUCCAUUACCAAAACUACUCAGCUAGAGGAUGAGAGAGGGUCGCUGGAAUUCCCUGUGUAGGAGUGAAAAUCCGUAGAUAUAGGGAGGAACACCGAUGGCGUAGGCAGGCGACUGGCUCAUUCCUGACACUAAGGCACGAAAGCGUGGGUAGCAAACGGGAUUAGAAACCCCUGUAGU